rnacentral:lncRNA from 11 species
UCUGAAGUCUCCCUGUCAGUGGCGAUAGGGUCAUAGGACCCAUCCAAGCUCAGUUCUGGACAGGCCUGUAGCGAGGGGGGGGGGGGGUGCUUAAAGCUCGGACGAGGACGCGGCUGCUUCUCCUCCUCCUCCUCCUCCUCCCUUCGGCCCCCCUUUUCCUGCCUGUGAUCGGGGAAAGAGGAGGAGGAGGAGCCGCCAGGGCCGGCGAAAGGAGGAGCGAGGGCGCGCAUAGGCGGGCCAGGCGAAGAGUUGGAGAGCAGGAGGAGCGAGCGAGCAAGCAAGCGGAGUGGGGCUGCGGCAGGAGGAAUCGCCCAGGACGCUGGGAUGGAUCCCCCAGAAUGGAUUUCGGGAUCCUCCGC